CGAGCAAGUUGAGCAGUCGCGUCCCCUUAUCAGGGAUGAGGAAAGUCCGAGCUUCACAGGGCAGGAUUGUGGGUAACGCCCACCAAAGGCGACUUUAGGGAAAGUGCAACAGAAAUUAUACCGCCGCGUUUUCGCGGUAAGGAUGAAACGGCGAGGUAAGAGCUCACCGGUGCAUGGGUGACCAUGCAGCCUUGUAAACCCAAUUUGAAGCAACGCCAGACAGGAAGCGGCCUUACGGCCGGCAUUUGCCCGAUGCAAUUUCCGAGUUGGCGGCAUGAACUGCGUGGCAACGCGCAGUCUUAGAUAGAUGAUUGUUCAAGACAGAACUCGGCUUACAGACUUGCUCGUUUA
rnacentral:RNase_P_RNA from 1 species